CGGGGGAGGGAGGCAGCCAAAAUUUUUUUUGCUUGGGGCAGCAAAAAACCUAGAGGCGGCCCUGAUUGUAUUUAACUUUAGAUAAAACUGGGAAUGCCAGAAAACAACGUUGGGUACUGUAGCCUGAAAAUGUGAAGCAUCUACACAGGCGAGGAGAGCAAUCACAUUGUUGUGUAUAACUUGUUAUAUGACAACUAUGGAGUCUUGUAAAAAAAAAAAAUCAUGAAAAAAAAACCCCAACAAGAAAAAGGAAAAAAACCACAAAAAUAUAAUUUUUAUUUUGAAAAACACUUGCUGUUCUCUGGAGAAUGUACUUUUUCUCUUUAUUUUUUUCUUAAAACUUUUUCAAGUAUUAAAAAGUGUGCAAGUGAUGGCAGCAGUUACCUUAAUCCUUCAGGUGCUACUGGAUUUUGCAUUGGCGUGUCAUGUUGUGAAAUCCUGACUUUGACAUAAAAGGUUUUAUAAGUACAUCCUCGUCUGGAAAGUUAGUUUUUGGAGUGUCUCUCUCGUAAUCUGUAUGCCGGAAUGAUCCCGAAGUUGUAUUCUUCUAUACAGACGUAUUAAAAUCUGUCAGCAGUAAUAUAGGCCAUGAUUUCCUGCUCUCAGCAAACUUCCAAGAAAACUGGAAAGGAAAACAAAAUAAUUCAUCAGCAGUGGACUUUACAUGGUACUGGGAAGGAUAUGGAAUAAUUAAUUGUUAUAAAAUCUCAAAGAAGAGCACAUUUCAGGUCAGGUAACACCAGCCUCCUCAGAAGCUAAUGCAGAGGUUCCAGAACCUUCACAAAUGAAGGACGAGCCGAGAUGUUGAGAGAAGAAAUAGAACCACAAUUAACAGGAUUGGGAAGAAGAGGACUGUGACAAAGGGCUUUCUAGUGACAGUGUGCACAGAGGAGCUGCUCAUCCACUCAAGCCUAUUCCAGAAGAGACACCCUGCAAUCUCUACACAUGCUGCUCUCAACUGCUGAUUCAUCACAUGGAAUGACCUGAAAAGUCAGUAGAACCUAAGGAAUUGGGAAAUUCCAAUUCCUUACCUCAGUGAACACAUUUCACUACCAAACAGCUCUAUUUUGAAUAAACAAGCAAGUUUUCCUGGCAUGUAGAAUGAGCAAAAGAUGAGCAAUUGUUGAAGAUCAAUGGCUAGGAACAGAACAAUUCAGCGAAUCUGAUGUAGUGCAUCCAUGAAGAGCAAAUACUGAAAAUCUCUAGUGAUCAUUUUAUGUGCAAGCUUUUUUUCCUCUUGUACACAAGUAAGUAUUAAUGCCAGCCCCAUAGUGAUGGUUGCCAUGGUCUCUCAAGUGCAGAACUGUUCAAUAAACCUACUGUCAGUUAUAGAUGUGCCAAACUAGCAAGGAUUGUCAAUUUCUCUAACUCUUGUGAAAGUAAUUGGACUUUCCCCCUAUAACUUCUAUUGCAAUACCAGUAUAAAUCAUCAUCUAAAAGCACUGGGAGUAUUUUUAUGCAUGGAAUUUUAAAUGGCUAUUAAAUUGAAGAACUGUUUGAAACUGUGACAUCCAGUAACUACUUUAGAUUCAAAUUUGAUUUUUAAUAUUCUCUAGAAAACACACACCUUUCCUUUUUAAAGUUGCAGUUUGAAUUUGAUAUAAACUGUUAUGCUCAGCACAGCAGCUAUCUUUUGUGUGCAUGUGCAUAAAAUAUGAUAUUCCUAUGAAUAAGCAAUGUAUACACACUCAGUCAGGAAUCUAAUAUUUUAACUAAAUAUAAGUCUAUCAAGGACAGGUUUAUUUUUAAUCAUGAACAAGUUUUCAAGGCAAAGUUGACAAAUCAUAUGUAGAUAAACCUGAGAACUCUGUAGUACAACACAGUAUAGGGCUAUUUAAACAUCUCCCUAUAAAUUUGUGGAUAAUACAUUUAGUGCAAGGGGAAGGAACAUUAUUCCUGUUUUUCAAAUUACACUACUCAUCCCCCACAACUCAAAAAUUUUGCCAGUGUUUUAUGCACACUGUCCAAUUUACACUUUGGUUUCUUUCAGCAAGAAAAACUGGACAUACUUGAUGUCACACCAUUGCUGUUGGUCUAGCCCUCAGUUUCACAUACAGUAUAUCAUCCUAAUUUGCAGAUACUUCUGUUUUGUGCUACAGCUAAAAAUUCAUACACUGGACCCAGUUUAUAGUGUAAUGUAAUCUGGAAUAUGGAUGCCUGUACACCAUCGGCACACAAACUACUUAUAUUUAUGAUCUCUGCUAAAUGAUUACACAUGAUAAAUUUUGAAAUGAUUAGUUAGAUGUAAAACCAUAGAAAUAAACUGGGAAGAAACUUAGGUUGUCAGGUCCUUGACAAGUUAAUGAUGGAUGUAUCAUAGAACUGAUGCUCUGUCCUAGAAAGAUGCUGCCCCAAAAGCUGAUACCUGAAGCAAAACUGGUAUCAUUUCUGAAAAAUGCUGCUCCUAAGCAUUCCUUUUGAAAAUGUUUCACUAAACAUUAUAAAUAAGUAAAAAAAAAUCAAGAAAAAUGCCUAUCAAUGCCAAGUAUAGAGUGGCAAAUUAUCUUUCAAAACAUGACAGAUCUUUAUUAUUCAGGACAGUAAUUGUAGAACAGCCUAAAGGUUCCAAGAUGUGAGGUUCAUUUUGGUUAUAUAACCUAUUGCCAAGGUACGUAUUCUUGCUCCCACAACUAUUUUAAGAAGAACGGUUAUAAAAGUUAAAAAGGAAUAUGUACUCCAUUACACAACAGUAGCAAUUCAUGAAUCUGCUUCUAAAUGAAAAUGAGUACAGUCAUUUGUCCUUCAUAAAAUGAAUACUGAACAAAAAUACAAUUUUGUAAAAGGAAAGGGGUGGUGUGUCUCUCAAACAGUACGUAAAAUUUUAAUAAAAAUAAAACGCUGGUCAAGACUUUCAUAUAACUUGAGCGUUUCUCAACUAACGAACAUUACAUGGAGCCUUUAACAUAGUACAAGAUUACUUCGAACUCUGUAUAAGAUGUACCUCUAAGUACUCUGGCAUUAUAAAACUAGCUGCCCGCAGCUAUUAGUCAUGCAGUUUAGGAUUAUUUCUUUUUAAGUUCUCACUGUAUUGAAAACUGUACCCUCCCUUCCUUUAGAGCCACGUACAGCCAGCAUUAAAUGGAAGUGUAGUUUUCAGCCAAACAGGCUGUUAGGUAUGAUGUACAAUUUUUUGUAGCUACUAAAGGAAAUAUUAACUACUAACAGAGAAGCAUAACUUCCAUAACUGGUGUUAAUAUGCUUAAGUCCUGCAUUUCCUUAAAUAAGAAAGUAAAGAAGGUUGCUUACAGUAAUCAAACAAGAACAGUUCAAGCUAACAGAGAAAAAUAAUUUUAAGUAUUAUCAAAUUACAAAAUAUUGCUUCUUAUAACAAAUUUGUAUGUAUGGUAUAACUAGUAACUCAGUUCAUCUCACCUAAAUAUUACUGUUUAAAAGAGCAUGGAAAAUCUACUUUUAAAAUGUAGGGUGCAAGAUUAUAUAUGACCUUCUAAAAAGGUGCUGCAAUAUGCCAUGUUAAGUGUACCAUAUUGUAAACACAUACAUUCUUAAAUACAUGUAUUCCACUGUUAUGGUACUUAGACUGUACAGUCAUCUGUUGUUAUUUUUCAUACUAACAUACAUUUCUUUGCAGUGAGAAUAAUAACUAAAGAGAUCUUAGUUGCAUCUCUAUCUGAAUUUUAGCUAUUGUGGUACAGCUAUUAAAUGUGUUUUUCAAGCAGAUGAUAUUUUCAGUGCACUGAAAAGUAGGUUUCCUAGCUGUCCUGAUGUUUCAGCUGCAUCCCCCAGUAGCUUUAUCAAUGCAGCAUUCUUCCCACUUAAAAUGUUCCCUCACUUAACUGGCCAUAUAUACUAACGCAAAUGUAAAAAGUGCUUAAAGAAUUGAGAAAACAUCCUGAAGACUCUUUUCUCAUUACAGUUAUAUAAAAUGCAUAUCUAAACAACUCAGCUUUUUGUCCAACCUUGCACUUCUGGACUGAAUAAAAAAAAAAUCUGAAA